UACGAAGGGGGGCUAGCGUUGUUCGGAAUUACUGGGCGUAAAGCGCGCGCAGGCGGUCCUUUUAAGUCAGGGGUGAAAGCCCAGAGCUCAACUCUGGAACUGCCUUUGAAACUAGAGGACUUGGGUACGGGAGAGGUGAGUGGAAUUCCGAGUGUAGAGGUGAAAUUCGUAGAUAUUCGGAAGGAAACACCCAAGUGGGCGAAGGGCGGCUC
rnacentral:rRNA from 1 species